rnacentral:lncRNA from 1 species
UCUUUCAAUCCAUCCUUGCACGUAGUAAGUGGAUAUUUAUUAACUCUUAUUUGUGACAUAAGUGAACAAGUUAGUUCAUUAAUAAUACACGUGUUCUUCAUUUCAAAAGUACUACAGAAUAUCACCAAAUCCAGAUGGAAUCCAUGCAACAUUGGAAUCAUGAUGAAGUCACCUUUAAGUGGAGUGGAGCACAUGGCAGGCUGUUUUAGAUCCGUUGGCUGGGUGUGGUGGUCUUCGAGGUUACUCCGCUGAAUGCCUGUAGCUGUCCAGCUUCCAGGUGCAGGGUUGAAUGCAUUCUCCAAAACAAAGCCAUUCUUGCCUUUGAAAUUGCACAAAAAUCCAAUGUAUCCAGCCCCUCGGGCACCUGCCGUACUCACACAAUAGAAGAAAAGAUUCUUUGAGAAGAGCCAGAAAAUCUGCAGUGAUGUGCC